rnacentral:rRNA from 1 species
UACGAAGGGGGCUAGCGUUGCUCGGAAUUACUGGGCGUAAAGGGAGCGUAGGCGGAUAGUUUAGUCAGAGGUGAAAGCCCAGGGCUCAACCCUGGAAUUGCCUUUGAUACUGGCUAUCUUGAGUAUGGGAGAGGUUAGCGGAACUCCGAGUGUAGAGGUGAAAUUCGUAGAUAUUCGGAAGAACACCAGUGGCGAAGGCGGCUAACUGGCCCAUUACUGACGCUGAGGCUCGAAAGCGUGGGGAGCAA